rnacentral:lncRNA from 1 species
CCCAAGUGUCCUUCCUCAGGUGCCACUGACCUUGUUUUUGAGAAAAGGUCUCUCACUGGUCUGGAAUUCAGCAAGUCAGCUAGCCUAAGUGGAGUGCAAGCCCCAGGGAGAAGUCAUUACUGAAUGAAGUGUGGGACCUAACAGGCAAAGGGAAAACAGCAUCACUGGCCGAGGCCUCGGAUGUGAUUCCAAUUCCCCCACAGGGGACUUCUGUGCUCUGGGACUGUGCUGUCUCAAGUGUGACGUCAGCUUCUUUAGUCUAGAACUUCUUCUAGCCUUAGAAUGCUAAGAUUUUCAUGAAAAAAAAAUGCCAGUGGUGAUCAAACUAAGACGCACUGAAGGUUGGUCCCAAACUUCCUUCUUGCACCUUGUGAAAUUCAGGCUUUGAAGAGUGAGGCAAGAAGUUUUCAAAGAUGACCCAGCCGGCUGUGGAGCAAGGGGCUCUAGGGAACAAACUUGGGUCACCUGGCUUCUGUGACAAGUCCUCUUAGCCAUGUCAUUGAAAGAUAAACAAUCCUGAUCUCCAGAAGAUGAGGGCCUCCUGAGCUCAGUGCCAAUAAUAACAGUGUCUUCAGAUUCUAUGCAGAUGCAGUAAAGGAGCC